CCUACGGGUGGCAGCAGUGGGGAAUAUUGCACAAUGGGCGAAACCCUGAUGCAGCGACGCCGCGUGAGUGAAGAAGUACUUCGGUAUGUAAAGCUCUAUCAGCAGGGAAGAAAAUGACGGUACCUGAUUAAGAAGCCCCGGCCAACUACGUGCCAGCAGCCGCGGUAAUACGUAGGGGGCACGCGUUAUCCGGAUUUACUGGGUGUAAAGUGAUCGUUGACGGGAGCACAAGUCUGGGGUGAAAUGCCGGGGCUUAACCCCGGAACUGCUUUGGAUACUGUGCAGCUAGAGUGCAGGAGAGGUAAGUGGAAUUCCUGGUGUAGCGGUGAAAUGCGUAGAUAUUAGGAAGAACACCAGUGGCGAAGGCAGCUUACUGGACUGUAACUGACGUUGAGGCUCGAAAGCGUGGGGAGCAAACAGGAUUAGAUACCCGAGUAGUC
rnacentral:rRNA from 1 species